rnacentral:rRNA from 1 species
GACGCAACGCGAAGAACCUUACCUGGCCUUNACAUGCAGAGAACUUUCCAGAGAUGGAUUGGUGCCUUCGGGAACUCUGACACAGGUGCUGCAUGGCCGUUGUCAGCUCGUGUCGUGAGAUGUUGGGUUAAGUCCCGUAACGAGCGCAACCCCUAUCCCUAGUUGCUAGCAGUUCGGCUGAGAACUCUAGGGAGACUGCCGGUGACAAACCGGAGGAAGGUGGGGAUGACGUCAGGUCAUCAUGGCCCUUACGGCCAGGGCUACACACGUGCUACAAUGGUGCGCACAGAGGGCUGCAAACCCGCGAGGGGGAGCCAAUCUCACAAAACGCAUCGUAGUCCGGAUCGCAGUCUGCAACUCGACUGCGUGAAGUCGGAAUCGCUAGUAAUCGUGAAUCAGAAUGUCACGGUGAAUACGUUCCCGGGCCUUGUACACACCGCCCGUCACACCAUGGGAGUGGAUUGCACCAGAAGUGGUUAGUCUAACCUUCGGGAGGACGAUCACCACGGUGUGGUUCAUGACUGGGGUGAAGUCG